UAGUACAAUAAUGUGAUGUGUGUUUACAGGUUGCACCCAUUCUGGUGUAAGUUAUAACAAUGGAGACUCUUGGAGGUCGGCGGAGAGUCCUUGUGAUAUCUGCCAGUGUUUGGACGGUUAUGUUCGCUGUGAGAGGGAGCAGUGUUAUACUCCCUGUAGAAACCCUACUGCUCCUCCUCCAAAUACCUGCUGUCCAGUCUGUGAUGGCUGUGAUGUGAAUGGACGUGAUAUCCCUAAUGGAGCUGUGAUCCCUGUUGGAGACCCCUGUCAAGAGUGUAGAUGUGAGAAUGGAAAUAUGGUGUGUUCACGCGUUCGCUGUUCUGCUCCGUCUUGUCACAACCCAGUGUAUCAUGCUGGGGAGUGUUGUCCACGGUAA